rnacentral:rRNA from 1 species
AGAGUUUGAUCCUGGCUCAGGAUGAACGCUAGCGGCAGGCUUAAUACAUGCAAGUCGAGGGGCAGCACGGGUAGCAAUACCUGGUGGCGACCGGCGCACGGGGGCGUAACGCGUAUGCAACCUACCCAUAACAGGGGGAUAGCUUCCGGAAACGGAAAUUAAUACCCCAUGGUACCACAAGGCCGCAUGGCCCAAUGGUUAAAACUCCGGUGGUUAUGGAUGGGCAUGCGUGCCAUUAGCUAGUUGGCGGGGUAACGGCCCACCAAGGCAACGAUGGCUAGGGGGUCUAAAAGGAUGAUCCCCCACACUGGUACUGAGACACGGACCAGACUCCUACGGGAGGCAGCAGUGAGGAAUAUUGGUCAAUGGGCGCAAGCCUGAACCAGCCAUGCCGCGUGCAGGAAGACGGCCCUAUGGGUUGUAAACUGCUUUUAUACGGGAGCAAUAAGGUCUAUGCGUAGGCCGAUGAGAGUACCGUAGGAAUAAGCACCGGCUAACUCCGUGCCAGCAGCCGCGGUAAUACGGAGGGUGCAAGCGUUAUCCGGAUUUAUUGGGUUUAAAGGGUGCGUAGGCGGAUUGAUAAGUCAGUGUGAAAGUUUUCAGCUUAACUGCAGAACUGCCAUUGAUACUGCCAGUCUGGAGUAUGGUUGAGGUAGCUGGAAUGUGUCAUGUAGCGGUGAAAUGCUUAGAGAUGACACAGAACACCGACGGCGAAGGCAGGUUACCAACCCAUUACUGACGCUGAGGCACGAAAGCGUGGGGAUCAAACAGGAUUAGAUACCCUGGUAGUCCACGCCGUAAACGAUGCUCACUCGCUGUUUGCGAUACACAGCAAGCGGCCAAGCGAAAGCAUUAAGUGAGCCACCUGGGGAGUACGAUCGCAAGGUUGAAACUCAAAGGAAUUGACGGGGGCCCGCACAAGCGGAGGAACAUGUGGUUUAAUUCGAUGAUACGCGAGGAACCUUACCUGGGCUCGAACGCCGGACGCAUGCGCUUAGCAGCGCAGGUCUUUCGGGACAGAGGAGACAGGUGGUGCAUGGUUGUCGUCAGCUCGUGUCGUGAGAUGUUGGGUUAAGUCCCGCAACGAGCGCAACCCUUGCCUUUAGUUGCCAGCACAUAAUGGUGGGCACUCUAGAGGGACUGCCGGUGACAAACCGGAGGAAGGUGGGGAUGACGUCAAAUCAUCAUGCCCCUUAUGACUUGGGCUACACACGUACUACAAUGGCGUAUACAGAGAGACGCGAAGUGGCGACAUGGAGCAAACCUCACAAAGUACGUCUCAGUUCAGAUUGAAGUCUGCAACUCGACUUCAUGAAGGCGGAAUCGCUAGUAAUCGCGGAUCAGCAUGCCGCGGUGAAUACGUUCCCGGGCCUUGUACACACCGCCCGUCAAGCCAUGGAAGUUGGGGGUGCCUAAAGUUCGUGACCGCAAGGAGCGACCUAGGGUAAAACCAAUGACUGGGGCUAAGUCGUAACAAGGUAACC